rnacentral:rRNA from 1 species
AAGCCUGAUGCAGCGACGCCGCGUGAGGGAUGACGGCCUUCGGGUUGUAAACCUCUUUCAGUAGGGAAGAAGCGUAAGUGACGGUACCUGCAGAAGAAGCGCCGGCUAACUACGUGCCAGCAGCCGCGGUAAUACGUAGGGCGCAAGCGUUAUCCGGAAUUAUUGGGCGUAAAGAGCUCGUAGGCGGUUUGUCGCGUCUGCCGUGAAAGUCCGGGGCUCAACUCCGGAUCUGCGGUGGGUACGGGCAGACUAGAGUGAUGUAGGGGAGACUGGAAUUCCUGGUGUAGCGGUGAAAUGCGCAGAUAUCAGGAGGAACACCGAUGGCGAAGGCAGGUCUCUGGGCAUUAACUGACGCUGAGGAGCGAAAGCAUGGGGAGCGAACAGGAUUAGAUACCCUGGUAGUCCAUGCCGUAAACGUUGGGCACUAGGUGUGGGGGACAUUCCACGUUUUCCGCGCCGUAGCUAACGCAUUGAGUGCCCCGCCUGGGGAGUACGGCCGCAAGGCUAAAACUCAAAGGAAUUGACGGGGGCCCGCACAAGCGGCGGAGCAUGCGGAUUAAUUCGAUGCAACGCGAAGAACCUUACC